rnacentral:lncRNA from 1 species
GUGUGUGUGUGUGUGUGUGUGUGUGUGUGUGUGUUAGAACAUAACAUAAAAAAUUUAAAAAACCAAAUAAACUAACAAACUUUAUUAUAAAAAAAAAUAUAGCUUACGGAACAUAAAGAUAUAAAAUUAAUCAAAUCUGAAAGCAUAUUGGAGAUUGUCUUAGGGCAUAUUCCGAUCCCUCAUUCAGGAGUAUUCGGGAAAACCAUCCGAAGAUAUGAGCAGAAUCCUCCGCCUAUGAGCAUGAUCGUGGAAAAGAUUGAUGAAGACUCUUUCAACACCCAGAAAAAGAAGAAAUAUUACAGUAAAAAAGAGAAAGCUUAAAAAGAAGAGAAAACUGUUAGAUGACUUACUGGAUUAGAUUCCAAAAGGCUUUUUUAUAGCCAACCAACAUGAUUGUUUAUUUGUGACUAUUUAUGACCGUUGGGGUUUUUAUUGACCCAUUAAGGCCUUUAAUAAGGAGUCC